rnacentral:rRNA from 1 species
AGAGUUUGAUCAUGGCUCAGAACGAACGCUGGCGCAGGCUUAACACAUGCAAGUCGAACGCACUCUUCGGAGUGAGUGGCAGACGGGUGAGUAACGCGUGGGAACGUACCCUUCAGUUCGGAAUAACCCAGGGAAACUUGGGCUAAUACCGGAUACGUCCGUAAGGAGAAAGAUUUAUCGCUGAAGGAUCGGCCCGCGUCGGAUUAGCUAGUUGGUGAGGUAACGGCCCACCAAGGCGACGAUCCGUAGCUGGUCUGAGAGGAUGAUCAGCCACACUGGGACUGAGACACGGCCCAGACUCCUACGGGAGGCAGCAGUGGGGAAUAUUGGACAAUGGGCGAAAGCCUGAUCCAGCCAUGCCGCGUGAGUGAAGAAGGCCUUAGGGUUGUAAAGCUCUUUCAGCGGGGACGAUAAUGACGGUACCCGCAGAAGAAGCCCCGGCUAACUUCGUGCCAGCAGCCGCGGUAAUACGAAGGGGGCUAGCGUUGUUCGGAUUUACUGGGCGUAAAGCGCGCGUAGGCGGACAUUUAAGUCAGGGGUGAAAUCCCAGGGCUCAACCCUGGAACUGCCUUUGAUACUGACUGUCUGGAGUUCGGGAGAGGUGAGUGGAAUUCCGAGUGUAGAGGUGAAAUUCGUAGAUAUUCGGAGGAACACCAGAAGCGAAGGCGGCUCACUGGCCCGAUACUGACGCUGAGGCGCGAAAGCGUGGGGAGCAAACAGGAUUAGAUACCCUAGUAGUCC